CCUGGACUAGAAUGUGAGGGAAUGUCGGGUAAUGCCGGCAGUCCGGGAAACCGGACCCAAAACAAGGUGCUGCAUGGCUGUCGUCAGCUCGUGUCGUGAGAUGUUGGGUUAAGUCCCGCAACGAGCGCAACCCUUAUCAACAGUUGCCAUCAUUAAGUUGGGAACUCUGUUGAGACUGCCGUUGAUAAAACGGAGGAAGGUGGGGAUGAUGUCAAGUCAUCAUGGCCUUUAUGUUCAGGGCUACACACGUGCUACAAUGGACGGUACAAAACGUC
rnacentral:rRNA from 1 species